CCUACGGGAGGCAGCAGUGGGGAAUAUUGCACAAUGGGGGGAACCCUGAUGCAGCGACGCCGCGUGAGUGAAGGCGUACUUCUGUACUUAAAGCCCUAUCAGCAGGGGAGAAAAUGACGGUACCUGACUAAGCAGCCCCGGCUAACUACGUGCCAGCAGCCGCGGUACUACGUCGGGGGCAAGCGUUAUCCGGAUUUACUGGGUGUAAAGGGGGCGUAGACGGCAGGGCAAGUCCGGAGUGAAAGCCCGGGGCUCAACCCUGGGAUUGCUCUGGAAACUGUAAAGCUGGAGUGCGGGAGGGGUAGGCGGAAUUCGUGGUGUAGCGGUGAAAUGCGUAGAUAUCAGGAGGAACACCGGUGGCGAAGGCGGCCUGCUGGACCGUAACUGACGUUGAGGCUCGAAAGCGUGGGGAGCAAACAGGAUUAGAUACCCGAGUAGUC
rnacentral:rRNA from 1 species